rnacentral:rRNA from 1 species
GACGAACGCUGGCGGCGUGCUUAACACAUGCAAGUCGAACGGAAAGGCCCUGCUUUUGUGGGGUGCUCGAGUGGCGAACGGGUGAGUAACACGUGAGUAACCUGCCCUUGACUUUGGGAUAACUUCAGGAAACUGGGGCUAAUACCGGAUAGGAGCUCCUGCUGCAUGGUGGGGGUUGGAAAGUUUCGGCGGUUGGGGAUGGACUCGCGGCUUAUCAGCUUGUUGGUGGGGUAGUGGCUUACCAAGGCUUUGACGGGUAGCCGGCCUGAGAGGGUGACCGGCCACAUUGGGACUGAGAUACGGCCCAGACUCCUACGGGUGGCAGCAGUGGGGAAUAUUGCACAAUGGGCGGAAGCCUGAUGCAGCAACGCCGCGUGCGGGAUGACGGCCUUCGGGUUGUAAACCGCUUUCGCCUGUGACGAAGCGUGAGUGACGGUAAUGGGUAAAGAAGCACCGGCUAACUACGUGCCAGCAGCCGCGGUGAUACGUAGGGUGCGAGCGUUGUCCGGAUUUAUUGGGCGUAAAGGGCUCGUAGGUGGUUGAUCGCGUCGGAAGUGUAAUCUUGGGGCUUAACCCUGAGCGUGCUUUCGAUACGGGUUGACUUGAGGAAGGUAGGGGAGAAUGGAAUUCCUGGUGGAGCGGUGGAAUGCGCAGAUAUCAGGAGAAACACCAGUGGCGAAGGCGGUUCUCUGGGCCUUUCCUGACGCUGAGGAGCGAAAGCGUGGGGAGCGAACAGGCUUAGAUACCCUGGUAGUCCACGCUGUAAACGGUGGGUACUAGGUGUGGGGUCCAUUCCACGGGUUCCGUGCCGUAGCUAACGCUUUAAGUACCCCGCCUGGGGAGUACGGCCGCAAGGCUAAAACUCAAAGGAAUUGACGGGGCCCCGCACAAGCGGCGGAGCAUGCGGAUUAAUUCGAUGCAACGCGUAGAACCUUACCUGGGUUUGACAUGGAUCGGGAGCGCUCAGAGAUGGGUGUGCCUCUUUUGGGGUCGGUUCACAGGUGGUGCAUGGCUGUCGUCAGCUCGUGUCGUGAGAUGUUGGGUUAAGUCCCGCAACGAGCGCAACCCUUGUUCACUGUUGCCAGCACGUUAUGGUGGGGACUCAGUGGAGACCGCCGGGGUCAACUCGGAGGAAGGUGGGGAUGACGUCAAGUCAUCAUGCCCCUUAUGUCCAGGGCUUCACGCAUGCUACAAUGGCUGGUACAGAGAGUGGCGAGCCUGUGAGGGUGAGCGAAUCUCGGAAAGCCGGUCUCAGUUCGGAUUGGGGUCUGCAACUCGACCUCAUGAAGUCGGAGUCGCUAGUAAUCGCAGAUCAGCAACGCUGCGGUGAAUACGUUCCCGGGGCU